rnacentral:ncRNA from 1 species
UACCUUAUUGAUUCUGUCAGCGCUAUAUGCUCAGUUAAAAAACUGUGGCAUGCAUGUCGAGCUCAACUUUAGAAUGAAACUGCUAACGGCUCAUCAUAACUGAUGUAAUUUUUUUAGAAUUGUUCGGAUGGAUUACUGCUGUAAUUUUGGAACUAAUACAACAAGUGGAAAUCGUUACUGCUGCGGUUAAAAAGCUCGCAGUUGGAUCUGGGUUACAUGUAAUGGCUCGCCUUUGGCAUUCAUCGUGUGUGUAUGCUGAUUUUCUAUCAGAGUUUCGAUCGACUUUUCUAGUGACUAGUGAGUUUACCUUGAAUAAAUUAGAAUGCUAAAAACAAGUGCUUGCUUGAAAAGCUGAUUAUAAAAAGAUAGAAGAUGAUUUCGGUUCUAUUCAUCAAUUCAAAAACUGGAAUAAUGGUUCGCCUUUGGAGUUAAUCAUGUGUGUAUUCUGGUUUUCUAUCAGAGUUUCGACUUUUCUAGUGACUAGUGAGUUUACCUUGAAUAAAUCAGAGUGCUCAAAACAAGCGUUUGCUUGAAUCGUUGGGAUGGAAUAAUAGAAAUGUACUUCGCUUCAAUUUACAGGUUCAGGAACUGGAAUAAUGGUUGAAAGCGACAUUUCGGGGCAUUCGUAUCCCUGCGCGAGUGAUGAAAUUCGUGAACGUAAACUUUGCCAUUUAGCAAUUCGAUGGGGUAAUAACAAUAGGGCGUUGUCAAGCAGCUUCUAAGACACGAAAGUCUUCCGGUUCUUGGGUAAUAGGAUUGCAAAACUGAAACUUAGGGAAAUUGACGGAAUGGCAAUACUAGGAGUAGAGUCUGCAGCUUAAUUUGACUCAACACGGCCAAACUUAUCUGGCCCAGACGCAGAAAAGAUUGAUGGAUUAAAGUUGGGCAACUGAACCUGCAUCUAGACACUGAAAUUGGGCAACUCAACAGACUUCAUGUUUUAAUACUAUAGUGUUCCUCGUAUUGGACGGUUUUAGUUAUCAAUCAUAUGCAUAAGCUUAAGGAUUGUCCAUCUUACGUCCUAAACAUUGCGCUAGUAAAAGUGAUCAACUUCGACCGUUAAAAUUGAUCAACUAGACCGUCUUAAUGUCGUUUACACUAUAGUGUUCCUCUUAUUAGCCGAUUUCAAGUAUCAGUUCAAUGUGUAAGCUUAAGAAUUGUCCGCAUUUCCCUCGAAAUUGGGCAACU